CCAGCACCACCAUUUUCAGGCUCGCCGUAUUCUCGCAGGCUCGAUCUUUUUGGCACAGUUGGGUCGAGUAUGAGGUCUGGCCAGUUGGAAACAAUGGGCUCACUUUACCCUUUUCGUCCCUCGGCUCAGAAGGUUCAUCAACCAUCUUCAUUUUUAUUCUCCUCCUCAUCUUCUUCUUCCUUUUCAUUGUUGAACAAUACUAUGGUCGAUGCUACUAAUACUGCUACUACUACCAAUGAUAACAAUACAAUGACCUUAUCCAUUCCAACCACAUCUAGUAAUUUCAAUCCAGCUUCUAUUAACUAUCAACUGCCUUCUGAUAUAGGCCUUCCCAAACAACCUCAAAAUAUGUUAAACAUGCAAAACCAAAUGCUCUCAUUUCAGUC
rnacentral:misc_RNA from 1 species